AUGUUAUUCACUUCUUCAAGAUUUGCUUUCCAAAAUAAUGUAAUCCAUCACUAUCAUUGCAUAUUAACUUAUUACUGGAGUGUGUAUGUUAUGUCCACAUUUAAGCCUCAACUGUGUACUCUAUUGCAUUUUUUGCAUUGAUCACAACAUAAAACGUAAGAAGCAAGUAUGUGAACUCAAAGAACAUGAUAUAAAACAUUGAGGCAAAGUAACACAUGAUAAUUUCAAAUGUAGAUCAAAUGGAAUUAAUGCCUUUUCUGUGGUAAAAAGCCCAUAAAAGGUAAAGUUCAUUAUUUUCAUGAAAAAACACCUUCUGCACAAAACUAAUAAAAUCAUGUCAGCGUUAGCAUUAUACAGCUAAAGCCUUAACUUGCAAGUAGUACAAAUAAAGAAACAAAUUGUAUAUCAAAAAGAUUUUUCAAUGAACGACUUAUUAGCACUUAAAUAAUAAAAAAACUAAAAUAAAAAUAUUUAAUCUAGACGUUGAAGAGAAAAUUCUCAUCUCACCAGAUUAAUAUGUAAAUGGGAAAAGUUCUAUUACUAUCUUAAUGCUAUCAUCCAUUAAGAUAAGAAAAUUCUUAGCUAAGAUUGAAAUGCCUAAUGUUUUGGUACCAACAUGCCAUCCUUUAGUGGUUUAGUGCCCAUGCAAAUCACAUUUUGUAAAAGUCGAAUUUUAUGUUAAAAACUAAGUAUUUAUAAAAAAUCAUCAAUACAGAAUACCAGUUUUUUUUGGUGCCAGUGUUAUCUACACAUAAAAUGCAACGUAUCACAAAUUAUUUAUAUUUGUCAUCUAUAAUAUUAGAUACGAAAAUUUAAGCUCAAUAAAGAAAACUUCUUAGAUGGUCUAUAGGUCAAAUAAUUGUACUAACAUUUUAAGAUAAGAAUAUAUUUAUUAUGAUAUAGACAUGAACUGAUUACGAUUACAUUUGACUUUUCUUGCAUGCACUUUCAAUAUUCUAUUUUCUUUUGAUAUUUUAUUGAUAGACUUGUAAAAUUUGAAAUUGAUAUUAAAUUGGCUUUUAUCUAGAUGAUUCAAAUGAAAUCUGUAUGUUAAAGAAUUAUUAUGAGUAUUAUUAUUAUUCUUAUUAUUACUUUAAAGCUCUUGGUGGUUGCGGCUUAGUUUAAUUCAAAGUUUUUACAGAGUUUUUUAUUUAUUUAUUUAUUUUUUUGCACAUUUUUUCUCAGAUCGUGGUUCACCAUACAUCCAAAAGAUUAAAUAUUAAUAAAUUUACUAUUUUUCUGAAAAAUUAAAAAUAUAUAAAAAAAUGAAACAAUUUCUUUGGAGAAAUUUACCUAAUUUUCUAACUGUACUUUAUUUGAUACAUAAAAUUCAGGGAAACUUUAUUUCGGUU
rnacentral:lncRNA from 1 species